UAGGGAAUAUUGCCCAAUGGACGAAAGUCUGAGGCAGCAACGCCGCGUGCACGAUGAAGGCCUUCGGGUUGUAAAGUGCUUUUCUGGAGGACGAGAAAGGACGGUACUUCAGGAAUAAGGAUCGGCUAACUACGUGCCAGCAGCCGCGGUAACACGUAGGAUCCGAGCGUUAUCCGAAUUUACUGGGCGUAAAGCGCGUGUAGGCGGUUUAGUAAGUUGGAUGUGAAAGCUCCUGGCUCAACUGGGGAGAGGCCGUUCAAAAACUACUAAACUAGAGGACGGUAGAGGGAGGUGGAAUUCCCGGUGUAGUAGUGAAAUGCGUAGAUAUCGGGAGGAACACCAGUGGCGAAGGCGGCCUCCUGGACCGUUCCUGACGCUCAGACGCGAAAGCUAGGGGAGCGAACGGGAUUAGAACCCCGGUAGUCCUAGCUGUAAACGAUGUGAACUUGGCGUCGGUGGGGUAAAAUCCAUCGGUGCCGUAGCUAACGCGAUAAGUUCACCGCCUGAGGACUACGACCGCAAGGUUAAACU
rnacentral:rRNA from 1 species